UCCCAGUCCCACGGUCCCACCGGGCCACCUCCCGAGGUUCGGCUGUUCCCAAAUCCCAGUUCCCACUGUGGCACUGUGCCACUGUCUACAGUCCACUGAUCCCGAUUCCCCAAUCCCACUGAGAUUGGUUGUGACUUCACUACUUCAGCGGUUCGGCACUAUUCGGCCUCUUCUCGCUGUCAAGUUCGGAACUAUUCCACCUCUUCUCGACACAAUUAAGUUCGACACUACUUGUCGGGACCCGAGUUUGUUUUUCUUGACACAAUUAAGUUUUAUCAUUUUUAACUUUUUA